UACGAAGGGGGCUAGCGUUGCUCGGAAUCACUGGGCGUAAAGCGCACGUAGGCGGAUCUUUAAGUCAGGGGUGAAAUCCCAAGGCUCAACCUUGGAACUGCCUUUGAUACUGGGGAUCUCGAGUCCGGAAGAGGUUGGUGGAACUGCGAGUGUAGGAGGUAGUAAAUUCGUAGAUUAUCGCAAGAACACCAGUGGCGAAGGCGGCCAACUGGUCCGGUAUGACGCUGAGGUGCGAAAGCGUGGGGAGCAAACAGG
rnacentral:rRNA from 1 species